AGUAGCAGAGCCGAUGUUGUUGAGAGAUUUUGCUGUGUGCCAAAGCGAGAGGCCCUGUCUUCUCUCUCUAGAUUUUGGACGGCAAACCGCCGCCCGUGCAGAGGUGUGUGCGUGUGACGAAAAAUUAUGGAUGAAAUACGGGGGAAGCGGGGUUUGAAGUCUUUCGUUCGUCACACACACAUGCAUUUACCAGCGGAUAUCGCUGGACCGAGUCUACCCAUCCCUCUCGAUCCACCAUGAUUUUUCUGCUAUCGCGCUCAUCCGGGUGUUAGGCAUCCUCAGUCUGUCCAGAACUUUCCCUGUGGAAGGAUGUACUGAAGUGAGGUGCGAUUUCUUGUGCAACAUACUUUGCUCAUUUACGUUUUGUGCCGUGUUCCUUCUUCCUCAGUUAUGGAAUGAUUUAUCCUAGCAAAUUGUUGAGUUACAGGUGUGUGCGCUAUUUAUCAACGACUACCUGCUAGCCUCGUCAACAAUCUUCAAAGUGAGCGACGGAAAGAAAACAUUUUCCAGUUUUAAAAUAUUAAGCCCCCGGUGAGGACGUCAUUACUUAACAGAAGCCGGUUCAACACGCGCAGCUCCUGUUCAUGACGUCAUCACGAAACUGAAGCUAGCUGAACACGCGCAGCACGGAUGGUACCCCGAGCGCAGUAGGAGGAAGGAAGAACGAGAGGAGAAAGAACGGUAAAUUUGGAAGGGGGAAAGCGCUCUGCCGUCUACACAGCGGGAGUAUGCCAAAACACUUGUGGGAAGGGAGAGGGAUAUUAUUCAAUAAACAGCAUGCAUGUGUGUGUAAAGCAAA